rnacentral:sRNA from 1 species
UUCUACAUUUACUUCUCUUCGGAUCCAU